AAACAUUAAAUAUGAAGCGAUUUUGUAUUAAAAGUGGUUAUAUUCAAGUAUACAUUGUACAUUCAUAAAUGAUACGAGAUGUAUUAUCAAAUUAUUUUAAACUACAGAAUGAAACACAUACACAUAUUGGUAUUUGCAGUGUUUAGAAAGGUCAUAGUAAUCAAUAAAUCUAAUCAAUCAUUUGAAAAGAAAGCAGCUGAAAUGGCCCCUCUACGUCGCUUCAAGGAGAAUCGAUUGCUCGAAUCCAAUCAUUCUAUUGUUUUAUAAUAUUCGAGUUGUGUGGCAGGAAGGUUAACCCUGUACUGAAUAAUAAAUUCAGUAUUCUGCACAUUCACUCGAUUCUUCUCAUCAAUUACUCGAUAGUUUCCGAUUUAUGUUAGUACUACCUGUCCCAAACAAUCGAAUCAUUCCAGUGUUAUGUUCGGUUGUACCCAAGACAUAAUUUAUGUGCUCAAGAUUUUGCGCACCUAAUCCAAAAUUUAGUAUACCUAUAGUCAUGUGUGAUUAUAGUUAUCACCCUAAAGAGAAGGCAGACGAGAGACUACACAGCCAGAGUCUACGCAUUUAAUCUUUGGUUACCACCUUACAGUAUGCAGAACUGCCAAGGAAACAUUUUAUCGUCCUUUUGGCUUCCUCUAAGCUUUGUUGAUUCUUUGAAUGAGGAGUGGGUUAUCAACCAAGGUGACUGUUGUUGGGUUACAUUAUAAGUGGUACACCCUAUCAAUCACUUGAGGGCCAUGUGAAAAACUUGCGACAUUGCCAUCACCCACUCAGACAACACACUUUUUCCACAUCCUAUUGCCAUCUAUCUUAUGGGUCCAUGGAAUGUAACAAAGAUGUGUGGUUGGUGGCCUGGAACUGCAACUUACUCUUGUAAACAGGAACAUGAUUAAGGUUGAAACAAACAGAUAUCAGAUCCUUGCCUAAUAAAAGCAAGUUACCUUGUCAGAGACAGAAAUAUUUCUGCUACUGAAAAAUACUUGGCAUAUUAAAUCCAAAGGACACCCCUAAAUGUGACCGAGCUUCCAGUAACCACACAGUUUAUGCAGCUGAUUCGUAGACUCUGCCUGCCUUUGAGUUGAGGGUUCCUGUAAGGCAGACUGCUAUUUCCAACGGGAGAAUGAUGUCCAUCAGAGGGGUCUAUGUGGAGGUAGCAAAAUUUUUCCUGUAAUAUCAAAACCUAUAAUAUAUGUUGCAGUGGCACCCUUGUCUUCUUCAGAUCUCAGAGCAACAAUAACUUGAUCUGAGCUUCCAGGGAUGAAUUUGAAACUAGAAAAUCCAUGUGUAGGAAUUAUGUUUCCAACACGAAGAACCUGUAACAUAUUAAACACAGAUUCCAAUUCGAUGCCAGCUAGCUGUCUUCUCGAAGGAGAGGUGUCCCCAGUCACCUCAGUCUUUCUACUUUUACAGCUUUCAUUAUAUCUGGCGUGUCAUUCAGCUGAUAUAAUCCAGAGUUAUAUCUGUUUCACCAAAUGUGAAGGCAAUAACAUACCUUGAUGUCUGUGAAUGUAUCAUCUGUUGUGAUCAUGACAUUGCAACCCCUAGUUUCAUCAAGCACAUCAUUAUAACGCUCUUUUGAACAUCGCCGUGGAAGGAAAAACCAACAAUCGUGGACAUCACUCCAUACCACUGCUUCAUGUGUAAUGUAACCUAUGAAAAAUGUAAAUACUGUAUAGAUGUAAUGAAGAAUUAUUGGGCAAUUACACAUGACAGAAUGGAGCUUAAUAUUUGAUGCACUCUGCAAACAUUUGUUAAAAAUCUAUUUUUAAAACACAGAUUUUAUUGAUUUUCCAGAUUCAGUUUUGUCAAAUCCAGAUAUGACUGGGCAGAUCACAGUCCAACCAUGUUUAACACAAACUUCUGGACAUUCUGCAGUUUUCCUGGACACGUCUAAAAGUGACAAUUUUGGGUAAUGUCCUCAUAACAUAUACAGAAUACUUGAUUCUACUCAAGGCAGCAUUAGGAUGCUAAAACUAAGUAUGGUGUUCAUUGAAGGAUUUUCAUAUCAUACAGCUUUCACUGUGAAGGUUUUGACAGAAAUAUCCCACUAUAUAAAAUUACAUUGAUGGAAUACUUCUGUGUAACAGGAUUGAUAUAAAAAUAUAUAAAUAAGAAUUUGGAAUUUAUAAGUGGUUUGAAGAACUGGUGGGUAGUGGAUAUCUUGAAUGACAAUUGUCUUUUGUUUCUUUCUGAUGAGGUAUUGAUAAGUUUUAAGAAUGUAAAUAGUCAAAACAGGUACUGUAACAUAUUCUGCAGUGCACUGCAUUAAAAUGAUGGAUUUGUCGUGUAUCCUACAACCAUUCUCAACAUUUUUGUAGCUUGUAAUGUCAUUUCUCUGACUCUUCACUUCUUCAGUAUGUAUUUUUAAUGUUAGUACCAUAUGCAUAUAUCUUAAAAAGAACAAACCAGGAAAUUCAAUUCCAAGAACUCUUCUGACUGAAAGAUAUUUGUGAAACCAAUUAUGAUGUUCUACUUCUCCUGUCGAAGCGACAGUCUUGAUCCACUGCGGAUGUGUGUUCACAGCUUCUCCAGUGUUGGUUGUCCACUCCUUCCCCAGACCUCCAAUAAACAACUUCCUCUGUUUCACAGUAGCCCAUUCUGACUUGAAACCUGUAAUGCAUAUUUCCCAUUCUAGCAAAAUAUCUUUAGAACAGAACAGAAUAUAAUUUCUUUACAUCCCAUAGAUCUUUUGUAGGCCCAAGCCAAGGAUGUAGAACAUGUCACAGCAUAAAUACAAUAUUUGUUUCUAAUACAAAUAUAAAUUACAUUAGUUAUGUCAGUCUUUUACAGUCAGCUGCAGUACUGCAAAAAUAAUUACACAAGCAUAACCACUACUGCUUACAUGUAUCUAUAAUAGCUGAGAAUUUUUGGUUGAGGUAAAUUCUUAUGCGAAAAAAAUUGAAUUGAUCAGUAACUUCAAAUGUUACUCAGGAUUUAUUUUACUCAAAUUUAGUAUUACAGCUAAAAUAUUUUGGUUUAAAAUGUAUGAACUGUUCCUAACUUACUAUAUUAAUCUGUACCAUGUUCAUGAUUACCUUUUGGAAUAAUUGUGACAGAAAAGAAGAUUAACUGCAUCUAGUCCUGUAAGUUUCUAUGCCAAAUAUUGUUCACUGGCAGUUUCAUUAGACAUAUUGCUAAUCAAGAGCUUACCAGAAGAUAUAAAAUAUCACAACUGAUACAAUAAAAUGUAAAAAAUGUGAAACAAGUAUAAAACACUCAAAUAAU